UUCUCACUCGAUCAACUUGCGAAACUGAAAACCUCAAAAACCAGCCUCUCUACUUCUCACUCCCAGCCUCUCUCAAAUCUCGAUUUUUACUCUCUCCUUCGUCUUCUUGCUCUCUCGAUUCUUCUUCUUAGUCUCUCCCUCUCAGAUUUCUUCUUCUCCUAAAAACCUCUCAGAGCCCAGCACCACCGCGAUGACCUCGACCCAGAUGGAGGACGCCGUACGACAUCGCACUGCCAUCAACGAUUACCUGAAGAGGUUACUCCAGCAUAAGGAGCUCCAAGUCCGCACAGUGUGAGAAAACUUGGGAGGAGCUAAGAAGGAUUUUGGGAAAAUUGAAGAUUACUUGAAGUCGCUUCAAAGUGUUUGUUAGAUUAUAGGGGAAGUUCUGAGACCUCUCAAUUAUGGACAAUUGAGUUGCAUGAUUAUGGUCCUCCAUUCUUCGCCGCCUAG